rnacentral:rRNA from 1 species
UACGGGGGGGGCAAGCGUUGUUCGGAAUUACUGGGCGUAAAGGGCUCGUAGGUGGCCAACUAAGUCGGACGUGAAAUCCCUCGGCUUAACCGGGGAACUGCGUCCGAUACUGGUUGGCUUGAGUUUGGGAGAGGGAUGCGGAAUUCCAGGUGUAGCGGUGAAAUGCGUAGAUAUCUGGAGGAAUACCGGUGGCGAAGGCGGCAUCCUGGACCGACAUCGACGCUGAGGAGCGAAAGCCAGGGGAGCAAACGGG